UACGAAGGGGACUAGCGUUGUCCGGAAUCAUUGGGCGUAAAGCGCGUGUAGGCGGUCCGGUAAGUCCGCUGUGAAAGUCGAGGGCUCAACCCUCGAAUGCCGGUGGAUACUGUCGGGCUUGAGUACGGGAGAGGCGAGUGGAAUUCCUGGUGUAGCGGUGAAAUGCGCAGAUAUCAGGAGGAACACCGAUUGCGAAGGCAGCUCGCUGGAACGUUACUGACGCUGAGACGCGAAAGCGUGGGAGCAAACAGG
rnacentral:rRNA from 1 species